GACGAACGCUGGCGGCGUGCUUAACACAUGCAAGUCGAACGGAAAGGCCCUGCUUUUGUGGGGUGCUCGAGUGGCGAACGGGUGAGUAACACGUGAGUAACCUGCCCUUGACUUUGGGAUAACUUCAGGAAACUGGGGCUAAUACCGGAUAGGAGCUCCUGCUGCAUGGUGGGGGUUGGAAAGUUUCGGCGGUUGGGGAUGGACUCGCGGCUUAUCAGCUUGUUGGUGGGGUAGUGGCUUACCAAGGCUUUGACGGGUAGCCGGCCUGAGAGGGUGACCGGCCACAAUGGGACUGAGAUACGGGCCAGACUUCUACGGGAGGCAGCAGUGGGGAAUAUUGCACAAUGGGCGGAAGCCUGAUGCAGCAACGCCGCGUGCGGGAUGACGGCCUUCGGGUUGUAAACCGCUUUCGCCUGUGACGAAGCGUGAGUGACGGUAAUGGGUAAAGAAGCACCGGCUAACUACGUG
rnacentral:rRNA from 1 species